rnacentral:rRNA from 1 species
UCGAGAAUCAUUCACAAUGGGGGAAACCCUGAUGGUGCGACGCCGCGUGGGGGAAUGAAGGUCUUCGGAUUGUAAACCCCUGUCAUGUGGGAGCAAAUUAAAAAGAUAGUACCACAAGAGGAAGAGACGGCUAACUCUGUGCCAGCAGCCGCGGUAAUACAGAGGUCUCAAGCGUUGUUCGGAAUCACUGGGCGUAAAGCGUGCGUAGGCGGUUUCGUAAGUCGUGUGUGAAAGGCGGGGGCUCAACCCCCGGACUGCACAUGAUACUGCGAGACUAGAGUAAUGGAGGGGGAACCGGAAUUCUCGGUGUAGCAGUGAAAUGCGUAGAUAUCAAGAGGAACACUCGUGGCGAAGGCGGGUUCCUGGACAUUAACUGACGCUGAGGCACGAAGGCCAGGGGAGCGAAAGGG